GUAGGGAAUCUUCGGCAAUGGACGGAAGUCUGACCGAGCAACGCCGCGUGAGUGAAGAAGGUUUUCGGAUCGUAAAGCUCUGUUGUUAGAGAAGAACGUUGGUAGGAGUGGAAAAUCUACCAAGUGACGGUAACUAACCAGAAAGGGACGGCUAACUACGUGCCAGCAGCCGCGGUAAUACGUAGGUCCCGAGCGUUGUCCGGAUUUAUUGGGCGUAAAGCGAGCGCAGGCGGUUCUUUAAGUCUGAAGUUAAAGGCAGUGGCUUAACCAUUGUACGCUUUGGAAACUGGAGGACUUGAGUGCAGAAGGGGAGAGUGGAAUUCCAUGUGUAGCGGUGAAAUGCGUAGAUAUAUGGAGGAACACCGGUGGCGAAAGCGGCUCUCUGGUCUGUAACUGACGCUGAGGCUCGAAAGCGUGGGGAGCAAACAGGAUUAGAUACCCUGGUAGUCCACGCCGUAAACGAUGAGUGCUAGGUGUUAGGCCCUUUCCGGGGCUUAGUGCCGCAGCUAACGCAUUAAGCACUCCGCCUGGGGAGUACGACCGCAAGGUUG
rnacentral:rRNA from 1 species